rnacentral:rRNA from 1 species
CCUACGGGUGGCAGCAGUGAGGAAUAUUGGUCAAUGGACGAGAGUCUGAACCAGCCAAGUAGCGUGAAGGAUGACUGCCCUAUGGGUUGUAAACUUCUUUUAUAAAGGAAUAAAACGAGGCACGUGUGCCUGUUUGCAUGUACUUUAUGAAUAAGGAUCGGCUAACUCCGUGCCAGCAGCCGCGGUAAUACGGAGGAUCCGAGCGUUAUCCGGAUUUAUUGGGUUUAAGGGGAGCGUAGAUGGGUUGUUAAGUUAGUUGUGAAAGUUUGCGGCUCAACCGUAAAAUUGCAAUUGAUACUGGCAGUCUUGAGUACAGUUGAGGUAGGCGGAAUUCGUGGUGUAGCGGUGAAAUGCUUAGAUAUCACGAAGAACCCCGAUUGCGAAGGCAGCUUACUAAACUGUGACUGACAUUGAUGCUCGAAAGUGUGGGUAUCAAACAGGAUUAGAUACCCCGGUAGUC